CUUCCAUUCUCUCGAUGAUUAAAGCGGAUGACGUGAGCGCGACCGCCAGGAAAAAGACGAUCCUGCAAAGCUGAGCGCGAACACUCACUGGACAUGUCCAGCCAGACUUUGAUCUCGCUUUGAUCGAGAGUCUCGUCGUCGGAAUCUUUUCCUAAAGCCAUUCUGGCUACGAGAGCGUCUGUGAAGUUUUCCGUGAAGUACAGAGCACCCCAAGCUUGCCCUGUGCGUACGGCUUCUAUCGCUGAGUCUGGAUUCGGAUAAUACGUCUAUACGGAAAAAAGAACUUGAGGUAUCGACAACUGAGAUAUGUGAAGGUGCAAUCUUCCGAGAUAGGGCAUGUCAGGUUUUCGUAGAACAUCUCUUGGUUCACUAUGGCCAACUUCAGCCCCGUGGGAUCUCGUCCGAUCGCCAGACAGAAGAGAAUCACUUGCAUCACCGGCAAGGCGAAGAUGAACAGCAUCACACUGCGUAAAGAUAAUUAUCGCAUUUAACAUGGCGAAACGUAGCGGAUUCAACAUAGCUGGCUCCAGCUGCAAGUCGUUUCGAUAAGUAAUAAAAAAUACAAAAAUGAAAUGAAUUCAAAUUGGUGGGUUUACUAGUAACGAGUUUUUAUAGACUUUCGUUGGAAUCAAUGCGGUUUAUUUUGCUAGUAGACUUUUGCAUAUAUAUAUAUAUAUAU